GUGCCAGCCGCCGCGGUAAUACGUAGGGUGCGAGCGUUAAUCGGAAUUACUGGGCGUAAAGCGUGCGCAGGCGGCUUUUUAAGCCAGACGUGAAAUCCCCGGGCUUAACCUGGGAAUGGCGUUUGGAACUGGAAGGCUAGAGUGUGUCAGAGGGGGGUGGAAUUCCACGUGUAGCAGUGAAAUGCGUAGAGAUGUGGAGGAACACCGAUGGCGAAGGCAGCCCCCUGGGAUAACACUGACGCUCAUGUACGAAAGCGUGGGUAGCAAACAGGAUUAGAUACCCUGGUAGUCCACGCCCUAAACGAUGUCAACUGGUUGUUGGGGGAGUGAAAUCCCUUAGUAACGAAGCUAACGCGUGAAGUUGACCGCCUGGGGAGUACGGUCGCAAGAUUAAAACUCAAAAGAAUUGACGGGGACCCGCACAAGCGGUGGAUGAUGUGGAUUAAUUCGAUGCAACGCGAAAAACCUUACCUACCCUUGACAUGUCCGGAAUCCUGCAGAGAUGCGGGAGUGCUCGAAAGAGAACCGGAACACAGGUGCUGCAUGGCUGUCGUCAGCUCGUGUCGUGAGAUGUUGGGUUAAGUCCCGCAACGAGCGCAACCCUUAUCAUUAGUUGCUACGCAAGGGCACUCUAAUGAGACUGCCGGUGACAAACCGGAGGAAGGUGGGGAUGACGUCAAGUCCUCAUGGCCCUUAUGGGUAGGGCUUCACACGUCAUACAAUGGUCGGUACAGAGGGUUGCCAAGCCGCGAGGUGGAGCCAAUCCCAGAAAGCCGAUCGUAGUCCGGAUUGUUCUCUGCAACUCGAGAGCAUGAAGUCGGAAUCGCUAGUAAUCGCGGAUCAGCAUGUCGCGGUGAAUACGUUCCCGGGUCUUGUACACACCGCCCGUCACACCAUGGGAGUGGAAUCUGGCAGAAGUAGGUAGCCUAACCGCGAGGAGGGCGCUUACCACGCUGGGUUUCAUGACUGGGGUGAAGUCGUAACAAGGUAACC
rnacentral:rRNA from 1 species